ensembl:snRNA
GUGUUGUAUGAGAGGAGAGAAGUUAGCACUCCCCUCCACAAGGAUGGAAGAGGCCCUUGGGCCUGACAACACACACACGGUUAAAGCACUGCCACCUACUUUGUGGCAUCUAACCAUCGUUUUUU